GCAGCCGUCUGCAGCCUCCUAGUCCCGGCGGAGGGGAGGGCUGGGCAUGGCCCGGCGUGAGCGGAGCGACGGAGCGCGGCGCUACCCAGCAGUUACCACGUGGCCCAAUACACCUGAUGGAAAUGUAUCCAACUCCUUGAAUGGUUUGAGCUUGAUGGGUGUUCUGAACACAAGAGCUGGCGGCAGCAUCCAGGGUCUUCAGAACUUGAAGUCCCCGAGAUCUCUCUCAUUGCCUGAGUAUGGGCCGGGUCAGCACUCAGGUGCUAUAGAAGAUUGUCAUAGCCUUAAAUCAGUGGAUUCUGGCAUUCCAACCCUAGAAGUAGGAAAUCCAGAGCCCGUUCACUGCAACGUGCUAAUUGCAAAGAGGAAGCAGUCAGAACCUGAAAUUGUGCCUGACAGAACUUUUCAGAGCGCGUGCACACUGCCGUCCUGCGUGCCUCCACGCCCUCUGGCUUCCGAACACGAUCACGCAGUGCGAAAAUCCUCCACUUUUCCAAGAACUGGGUAUGACACUGUCAAGCUUUACAGUCCGACUUCAAAAACUCUGAAUCGAAGUGAUGAUAUCUCUGUCUGUAGUGUUUCUAGUCUUAGCACAGAACUGUCAACAACUUUAUCAGUCAGCAACGAGGACAUUUUGGACUUUAUGGUCACAAGCAGUUCAAGUGCAAUUGUGACUCUGGAGACUGAUGAAACACACUUCUCAGAUGUCACCCUGAGUUCCACUAAAGAGAGCGGUGAUCAAAGUCAGCAGGGCUGUUGUCAAGAGGCUGACGUGGACACUAAACGAAAAAUAUUGGGACCUUUUACCAACUUCCUUGCCAGCCCUUAUCUUUCAUCUGUUCUCUUCGUAAGGCUGGUAAGUUCUUCCAGUCGUUAAUUCAUAUGACAAUUCUAAUGAUUUUGUCUUCUUAAGAUAACCAUCUUAACUGGAAGACUAACUGAAAUGUGAAUGGAGCAUGCAUCUUGAGAGCAGCAAAUGCUGUAUUUGUUUUUAACCCUCAUAACAAAAAUGUACCUGCUGUUACAAAUGAAUUUUGGGUGAACGUAUUGCAUCAGUCUUAUGUGUGGGUUGGGUCAGCAUCUGCCUCUGGUUAGAUCUACCAUGCAUGUUUCUUUACAGCAACUGUCUUUUUAAAAGUAACCAACUUUUUAAGCCAUGACUGUGCUUUUUUAGUUAAAGAUUGGACUUUCUGCUUUGGUCGUGAUGCUGAAGUUCAUUUAGAAAUACAGACUUGAAGAAGCUGUGACAUGUGCUAUAUGGGUGGCUUUGGCUUGGCUGCUGGUUGGUGUGGUUCUAGUAUUUUUUGAAUUAUUUUCAUUUAUUUGGGGCUUCAGUGUGACCAUGACAUCAUGGAAGGUGACAAAAAUAAUGACAAUGUAUGAUUGUGUAAUCUGUCUGUGUGGCAGUUAUUCGGUAACUUUACCUCAGCAGUGCUUGUAGAACCAAAGUGAAAUGAUUGUCAGGUUUUACUCACAAAUAAGCUUUUCCUGACACUGCUGAACACAGCUAUUAGCAUUACCUUCCACUACUCCCCACAGAACAGGCAGUUGGGCAGUCAGUGUACAGUAGUGGUGCAGUCUGUGAUGUUCAUGGGGAAGAAUUUUGAGCCUCUCUUAUCGCACGGCGUUACAUGCAUGGAUGUCAGCACUUACUCUGGCUCUGUAAUUCAAUUAUCUCCAGUCAGGUAACUUUUUCUUAUCUCCACAGCUCAAUUAAAACAAGAAGGUUAAACAUUUAUUUGGUGCCAAAUCGUGUUUUUAAGGCAUGGUGCAAAAAGUCAUUUUGUAUUUGAAGUACUUAAGUUCUGUGCUAAAAUAAGCAGCUGCAGACAUUUAGUGUGAAAUAGUUCAUGUGUUUGAUGGAAUGCAAAUGAAACCUAUGACACUUAAAUGGUUCCACAGUAAUGAUACAGCAGGCAUAAUGUAUUGUGUCAGUGAUUCCUGUUAAUAUCCAGCUGUAAAUCAGCAUGAUGUGCUUUAAUGAUUGUGAAGAAGGCAGUGAGACUGAGAUAAUCAUCAGCACGUGAUUUUUUCUUUCCAGGCAUGCCAACCCUUUUUACAUUUAAGAUCUCAAAUGAGCUUCUGUCUUAAAGCACUUGUAAUUAAAUUUUAGGAUCUUUUCCUAAAGGAGUUCUGAGUUUUCCUUUGGAGUGAGAAGUUCUAUUUUUGCAGAUAAAGAAUUUUUGCUCCUUAUUACGUUUUCCAUUAAGUAUCAUCUCCUUAAACAUGUCACCUCUAAAGCUGAGUUAUUUGGUGAAUUGUAUUGAUUCAGGAGUGAAGUUGUUCGGCAGUUUAUUGGUUUUUUUUUCUGUUUUGUUCAUCUUUAAUCUGAUGGAGCUAAGUAUGGAAGGAAAAAAACCUUUUAGUGUUAGGACACUACAGACAAAUAAAAGCUUUUGCUGUGAACUACUUGCUUGUGUAUUUGUACAUAUAUAUGUACAUGUGCAUAAAAAUGGCAGACAUGAUUUCCUUCUGCUCAAGCAGUGCCUUUACCAGGACCUUUUGGUGGAUGUUCUGAUUUAUUAUAAAAGAACUGGUUGUAGUUCACAGUUCUACAUCUGACUGCCAGUUUUUGGCUUCUGAUAACACUGUGUCUUUUGGAAGUUCGGAUACUUCUUGGAGCGUGAGAAGAGCGCGGAUACCAGCAAAGGAGCAGAAUUUAGGCAGAGGGUGGAGAAAGAGAAGAAAAGGCGAGGUGGGUUGCUCUGAGAGGGUGGGAUUUGUAUGUUCACCACACCAGGUCCUUUUCUUUCAUUUUUUAUUAAAUAAAAAGAUUCAAAUGGAAAUCGCUGAUGGCGCACAGAGAGAAAGAGUUGCCUCGUGCCCUAGAACUUGCAACAGAAGUCACACAGAUGGAAAAAACAGUGAGCUGAACAGCACAGUGCCAUCUGCUAGAUAAGCCAUAGGACAGAUUACUUACUGUGGUGCUGCCUCUAAAAGAAAGCAGUUAGGACUGCUGAACUGAAUUCAAAGCAACUGCUUGAAUGGGCUUUUCAUUCUUAGUGUUACAGCAGCACUUCCAGCUGAGAGCUAUUACACUUCAUCAUCCAAAUUUGUCUUUAUUUUGCUGUGAAGAUGUAUUGCAGUCUGCUGUCCUUCUUAAAAUCCUUCAGAGAGAUUGGGGAUAUUGUUGCUUGCAUAGACAUUUGCUAGCAAUCUCUAGUGUGGGAAAGAAAAUUGCCUGCUCUUUUAAUUUUUGUGUUACUGCCAUCCUGACAAGCUGUGCUGAAAGCUUUUAUUUGCAAACGAGGAUUUGAAUGUGCAGGGAAACGCCAUGCAGGUGUGCCUCCCUGGGUGGCUCUCAGCUGUGCCUGGUGUUCUGCUUUGCUCUACAGCUGGCUUGUAGUCAUGAAUUGAGUUUCUUGCUUCCUAAGUAGUGACCUUAUAGCAAGAACAACCAACCUACCUUGCAGUGUGAAUCAUAUUUUUUUUCUGGAGUGAUUUGGGGGAUGUUCUUGCUGUCAAGUUUUCCUCCUUCUCUUUUUUAGAUAGAUUUUAGAACUUUACUGAUUUUUUCCCUUUAAAAUUAACAAAUAACAGCACAAAUUUCCCUCAAAAACUCACAUCUGUCCCUUUUAAGUUUUAUUUCCUUUGUAGUUGUCUCAAACAAUCCUGUAAACUCAUAAUCUCUGGCUGUCUUUCGUAUUUGAACUUGGGCUGGGUUAAACACACCUAAGCUCUUUGAGGUACUAAACUCAGAAAACAAAUUCUUAUAUUGUCAAGGUCAAGGAAUUGCUGAAGAAAAGAAAGCGAAUCCAACUGAAAUAUCUUUCCUUGAAGUUGUUUUUAUAAUGGUCUCUUUUCCCAGCACUAGCAGUUAUAGUGGCAGCACUGUAGCUGAACUUGCUGAUUAAUGCUCUAAUUAGCUUAUACAUCUUUAAGUAGCAUUAUAACUUUAAUGAUGAACUACAGGAGAGCUCUGUAACUGAAAUGGAGCAUGUUGUAGAGAGACAGCAAAUCCGUGCUGCUGGUCCAGUAAUUUACCUGUGGAAUUAGGAGUUCGUGCCAUCGGGGGGGAAAAAAGGGAAGAGGGGGAACGAGGGUGGAUGUCAACAGGUUUCUCUUUUCCUUGCUGUCUCCCCUACAUUUUUAUCCUAUUUCUUGUUUUCUCACAGGGGUUAGAGGGAAAGCUGUACACUUUGUAGAAGUGUACUUACUCUUAAUACUUAGCUUUGACAUCAGCUGUUACUGAAUUGUGUGAUUUCUGUACCUAGCCACCUUGCUCUUAUCUUUCAGUAUGAUAAUCUGUUCCUGCUUUGGGUUUCAAGGUAACUGUACCCUUGUGAUACAGAAGCAUGUGAUCAUUAGUGUAAAUACAGACACAUUUAAGGAUAGCAGAGCACAUUAUUAACUUUAAAAUACAUUGCCAUGCACCCUAUGCUUGUGUCUCCUAUUAAACGUUUUUCCUCUAUUCCCAGCAGUUUGAUCUCUGUUGGUGUCCUUACAGUACUGCUUGUGUUAGCUGAGCCAAGGAAUUUGUUUACCAGGAGGCAAAAUGCAAGACUUGAAAAACAAAAUGAUGUGGGCUGGAAGUUGUUUGGAAAAGUACCCCUCAGAGAAAACUCACACAAAGAUCCAAAAAAAAUACAAAAGGUAUUUG